rnacentral:rRNA from 1 species
CCCUUAGAUGUUCUGGGCAGCACGCGCGCUACAAUGGUCUUCGCAAACAGAUGCAUUCUCGAAGGAGAAUGCCAAUCUUGGAAUCUAUGCCUUGGUCGGGACAGUUGCUUGCAAUUUUUCGACUCGAACCAGGAAUUCCUUGUAAUCGUGAUUCAUCACAUCACGAUGAAUACGUCCCUGCCCUUUGUACACACCGCCCGUCGCUCCUACCGAUCGAAGAGUUAGGUGAAUUGUUUUGAUCGAUAAGAUUUGACUAUGGUCAACUCUCGUUGGGAAAUUCUGUGAAUCUGACUGUUUAGAGGAAGGAAAAGUCGUAACA